AUACGGAAGGUCCGGGCGUUAUCCGGAUUUAUUGGGUUUAAAGGGAGCGCAGGCGGAGAUGCAAGCGUGACGUCAAAUUUCGGGGCUCAACCCCGUCUCGCGUCGCGAACUGCGUCCCUUGGUUGCGGGAAGGGGAGGCGGAACUCGUGGUGUAGCGGUGAAAUGCAUAGAUAUCACGAAGAACUCCGAUCGCGAAGGCAGCCUUCCGGCCCGUCAACGACGCUCAUGCUCGAAGGUGCGGGUAUCAAACAGGAUUAGAUACCCUGGUAGUCCGCACAGUAAACGAUGGACACCCGCGGUUUGGCCUGUAUGGCUGAGCCGCCAAGCGAAAGCGUUAAGUGUCCCACCUGGGGAGUACGCCGGCAACGGUGAAACUCAAAGGAAUUGGCGGGG
rnacentral:rRNA from 1 species